UACGAAGGGGGCUAGCGUUGCUCGGAAUUACUGGGCGUAAAGGGAGCGUAGGCGGACAGUUUAGUCAGAGGUGAAAGCCCAGGGCUCAACCUUGGAAUUGCCUUUGAUACUGGCUGUCUUGAGUACGGGAGAGGUGUGUGGAACUCCGAGUGUAGAGGUGAAAUUCGUAGAUAUUCGCAAGAACACCAGUGGCGAAGGCGGCUCACUGGCCCGGUACUGACGCUGAGGCACGAAAGCGUGGGGAGCAAACAGG
rnacentral:rRNA from 1 species